AAUAUAAUGUCAAAAUACAUAAAUUGUCUUAGUCUGCUAUACUUUCUCCCAUGAGUGGCUGAUAAAUAAAUAAGCAAUAACUCGUCCAUUUGAAAAGUAACCACUAACCAGAGGUAGGUUUGCAAAGCUUGAAGAUUUGAAAUCUUACUCAAAAUGAGUUAAAAUCAAUACUCUAGCAGGAAACAUGGCCUUGUGCAUGGAAUGGAAGAAACAUACAGUAUCACCCGACUGUAAAAUCUCUUUACCAAAUCGAAUUUGUAAGAUAUGGAUACGAGUUGAUUUGGGAUUCUCUCUAUUCUCUAUGUGUGAAGUAACAAGAGAAGG
rnacentral:misc_RNA from 1 species